AUAAAGAUACACACACAUACAGAUGCACACACUGACAAACAGAAACAAACACAGACACAAACACUGACAGACAUACAUACACAGACACACAGAUUGACAGACACAGACACACGCACUAACAGACAUAGAGAUAUACACACACAUACAGACAUACAGUUACAGACACAUGCACUGACAGACAUACAGAUACACACACAGACAGACAUACAGAUACACACACACAUACACACACUGACAGACAUACAGAUACACAUAUACACACACACAGUCACGCACUGACAGACAUACAGAUACACACACACAGUCACACACUGACAGACAUACAGAUAUACACACAGAGACACACACACAUGCUGAUCAUAUAUAUUUUUAUAGCCACGCUCCUGUUUUCUACCUUUUGGGUGCAGGAGGGUGGCAUCCCUGAAAUCCAGUGUGAAGAUCUGGCUGAGGUAGUUGGGAGUUAGGGACAGCCCCUUCUCUCCUCUCUGAUGUCCCACGCUGCUCCAAUCAUGCCGAUACGGAGGGGGCGGUAGUUCCAGUUCCUGCAUGGCGCCAGCCGCGCUGUGUGUUAUGCAGGGAGCAGGGAUAUGACGUGCUCAUAUCCCCGCCCCUUCACGCAGUUCGUGGCAUGAUG